AGUUCGAUCCUGGCUCAGAUUGAACGCUGGCGGGAUGCUUUACAUGCAAGUCGAACGGCAGCACGGACUUCGGUCUGGUGGCGAGUGUUGGCGAGAACGGGUGAGUAAUGUAUCGGAACGUGCCUAAUGUGGGGAUAACACCGCGAAAGCGUAGCCUAAUACCGCAUACGCCCUUCGAAACGGGGACGCUAGACUCGCACUAUUAGAGCGGCCGAUAUCGGAUUAGCUAGUUGGUGGGGUAACGGCUCACCAAGGCGACGAUCCGUAGCUGGUUUGAAGGACGACCAGCCACACUGGGACUGAGACGGCCCAGACUCCUACGGGAGGCGGCAGUGGGGUACACGGACAAUCGACCUGAUUAAGCCAUCCGCGUGUGCAUUGACCUUCGGGUUGUAAGCACUUUUGGCAGGAAAGAAACGGCACAGGAUGUACCCGAUGCAACUGACUUCGGUACCUGCAGAAUAAGCACCGGCUAACUACGUGCCAGCAGCCGCGGUAAUACGUAGGUGCAAGCGUUAAUCGGAAUUACUGGGCGUAGCGUGCGCAGGCGGUUCGGAAGAAAGAUGUGAAAUCCCAGAGCUUAACUUUGGAACUCUUCAUUUUUAACUACCGAGCUAGAGUGUGUCAGAGGUGGAAUUCCGCGUGUAGCAGUACAAUGGCAGAUGUGCGGAGGAACACCGAUGGCGAAGGCAGCCUCCUGGGAUAACGCGACGCUCAUGCACGAAAGCGUGGGGGAGCAGGAUUAGAAUGCCCUGGUAGUCCACGCCCUAAACGAUGUCAACUAGCUGUUGGGGCCUUCGGGCCUUGUUAGCGCAGCUAACGCGCGAAGACCGAGCCCGCCCUCUGGGGAGAGUACGGUCACAAGAUUGAAGCUCAAAGGAAUUGACGGGGACCCGCACGAAGCGGUGGAUGAUGUGGAUUAAUUCGAUGCAACGCGAAAAACCUUACCUACCCUUGACUGUGUCUGGAAUCCCGAAGAGAUUUGGGAGUGCUCGCAAAGAGAGCGGAACACAGGUGCUGCAUGGCUGUCGUCAGCUCGUGUCGUGAGAUGUUGGGUUAAGUCCCGCAACAGGCGCAGCCCUUGUCAUUAGUUGCUACGAAGGGCACUCUAAUGAGACUGCCGGUGACAAACCGGAGGAAGGUGGGGAUGACGUCAGAGUCCUCAUGGCCCUUGGGUAGGGCUUCACACGUCAUACAAUGGUCGGGACAGAGGGUCGCCGACCCGCGAGGGGAGCCAAUCCAGAAACCUGAUCGUAGUCCGGAUCACGGUCUACGCUCGACUGCGUGAAGUCGGAAUCGCUAUUAAUCGCGGAUCAGCAUGUCGCGGUGAAUACGUUCCCGGGUCUUGUACACACCGCCCCGUCACACCAUGGGAGUGGGUUUUACCAGAAGUAGUUAGCCUAACCGUAAGGGCGAUUACCACCGGUAGGAUUCAUGACUGGGGUGAAGUCGUAACAAGGUAG
rnacentral:rRNA from 1 species